AAUAGCUUAUAUGCAGUAAAGAGCUCAUUUACACAGACAUUAUGUAAUGUACUGGUUAACACUAAAGGAUGAAGAUAGACUGCCUUAGUUUGAAUUCCUGUUCUACUACUUAACUAGGUAUACAAGCUAGACAAGUUAUUCAACCUCCGUGUCUUGGUUUCCAUAUAUAUAUAUAUACACACACAACAGAGACAGUAAUAUCUACCUUUUAGGACUGUUGUAAGAAAAUAAAGAAUUUAUGCAGGUGAAGCAAUUUCAUAGAUCCUCACACAUAGGUGCUAAGUGUUAGUGACUGUUACCAGCAAAAAGUUUACAAAGUAGAAUAAGAGAAUACGUAAGAACUAAACUGAAAACUUAUAAUUUACAACAGAGUAGCACAAUGUGAGCACCAGGAAAAAAACAUCUAAAUUAGACAGGGAUAUACUGAAAUAUGUAAGAUGAAAUGCUAUCCGGGUUUUGCUUCAAAAUGGAAGGGAUAGGUAAAAAAAAAAGAGACUAGCCAUGAGUUGAAGCUGGUUGAUGGGCAUAUGGAAGUUUAUCUACAUCUGUGUAUGUUUGAUUUUUCCUUAAUACAAAGCUUGGAAAAAAAGUAAAUUAGAAGAAGGUAGAGACUAUCUAUUAAAGGCUUCUCAGAAGAGGUAACAUUUGAGCUGCAGGCCAAAUAAAUAGCAAACAAAAAGCAGUGCAUGGUGCCGGGCAUGGUGGCAGGCACCUAUAAUCCCAAAUACUCGGGAGGCUGAAUUACUUGAACCCGGGAGGCAGAGGUUGCAGUGCGCCAACAUCACACUACUGAGCUCCAGCUUGGGCAACAGAGCGAGACACCAUUUCAAAAACUAAAUAAAUAAAUAAAAGACAGAGGUCAGAGUAUUUGGGUUUUUUUUUUUUUUUUUUAGAGACGGGGUUUCACUAUGUUAGCCAGGCUGGUCUUGAACUCCUGACCUCAAAUGAUCUGCCUGCCUCAGCCUCCCAAAGUGCUAGGAUUAUAGGCUUGAGCCACCACACCCAGGCUACAUAUGCCUUUCACAUAUUUUAACAAUAAUAUUAAAUCAUUUUAGUUCUUACAUGCUAAGCACUGUUCUAGGCACUAUAUGUGUAUUAAUUCCUUUAAUCCUUAUAAUAAACCUG
rnacentral:lncRNA from 1 species